GAUCAAGAAGGUAAGUUUAUUUCUAGAAACACCGCCUCAUAAAGUGCAAAGUGCAACAUUUCGACUCAACAGAUUAAGGCUCUGUUGAACCGACACUUUGCACUUUAUGAGGUGGUGUUUCCAGAAAUAAACUUACCUUAUUGAUCCUGGAGU